GUGCUCACUUUGGCAGCAUGUAUACUCAAACUGGAACGAUACAAGAGAAGAUUAGCAUGGCCCCUACGCAGGGAUGACAUGCAAAUUUGUGAAGCAUUCCAUAAGGAA
ensembl:snRNA U6 U6 spliceosomal RNA